ACUCUUUCUUCAAACUCUAUAAAUACAAAGAGAGAGAGCGUCACAAUCCCCACAAUCAAAGCACUUCAAAUUCUUUUCCACUAUUCUCGCAUCUCUGUCUCCUAUUUCUCCUCAUUUCUCUGUUCUUCUUCGCGCGAAGAUAAACACAGUUUAGUUGCUACUCAUGGGAACUGUUGUUGAAGCUGCAAAAAAGGAUGGAAAUGGAAGCAUCCUAGAGAAAAAACCUACAGUUAUUUUUGUGUUAGGUGGCCCAGGCAGUGGAAAGGGUACUCAAUGUGCAAACAUUGUGCAAAAUUUUGGGUAUACUCACCUCAGUGCCGGUGAUCUUCUGCGAGCAGAAAUUAAAUCUGGUUCUGAAAAUGGUACAAUGAUUCAGAAUAUGAUUAAAGAAGGAAAAAUUGUUCCCUCUGAGGUAACAAUUAAGCUUUUGCAACGAGCAAUACAGGAAUGUGGAAAUGACAAAUUUCUUAUUGAUGGUUUUCCUCGCAAUGAGGAAAAUCGUGCAGCAUUUGAGAAUGUGACAGGAAUAGAGCCAGCAUUUGUCCUGUAUUUUGAUUGCCCUGAGGAAGAGAUGGAGAGGCGACUUCUUAAUAGGAACCAGGGAAGAGAUGAUGACAAUAUUGAAACAAUAAGGAAACGGUUCAAGGUUUUCUUGGAGUCUAGUCUCCCUGUGAUUAAUUAUUAUGAUGCAAAGCAAAAAGUUCGCAAGAUUGAUGCUGCAAGGCCUAUUGAAGAGGUAUUCGAGUCAGUCAAAGCAAUUUUUGGUCCAAAAAAUGAGAAGGCUGAUUGAGUAUGUUCACCCUUGAUUUCAUGCUGGAAAUUAAGAGGUAAAAGUUGCGACAUGAAUGGUCAUAUAUUAUUACUAUUGGCUGCUUGUUCUGUUACCUCACAUUUUGUUACUAAAUAUAGAAAGUUGUAGUUUAUACGUAAGGUUUAUACCGCUAUAUUUAAAUAUUCUAUCUUGUUGACUCAUUCAUUGAUUGCAAUAAAGAAUUUUGUGUGGGAUUAUUUG